GCCUCCACCCCCAUCAGACCAGGGCUCCUGGCAGCUCUGUGGGCUGUGCGUGUGUGUUGGGGUGGGGUGGGGUUGGGGGUCCCCAGAGCCACACUGAGUUCAGCACUAGGGGAUUUUCAAAUCAGAUGGAGCAUGGAGAGGAAGUCAGAAAACCAGGGCCCACUACCCAAGCACCCUCAGAGGAAACCAGCUGCUCACGGACAAGUCUGAGCGUGAGUCCCCUUGGCCACAAGGGAAGACGACUGACAUGCAGGUCUUCCCUGCAGAGUCCAGGCAGGCAGAGAAGCUGGGACACCACCUGUGCUCUCCUUUGGGACCCCAGGGAACUGAGAGGCACAAAGGACCAGUAAGACCCAGCUGAAAACCAGGAAUGUGACACCCCCUCAGCUGCUCCUCCCUGCCCUGCUUCAUCAUCCAGCUCUGUCCACUGGAGCCCUCACGGCCACAUACCCAGUCCCACUCGAGACACCCUCACAGUCUCCCCCCAACCUAUGAACUCUGCUCCUGGAUCCCCCUCUCUUCUCACAUCAGCACCCAACACUGGACCUUAGGUUUCUCUGGUCACCAGCAAGCGUGGGCCUGGAUGAACAAAAUGUGAUCUAUCCGUGUAACUGAAUAUUAUUCAGCCAUAAAAAGGAACGACAUGUUGAUAAACGCUACAACACGGACGAGCCUCAAAGACAUUAUGCUCCCUGAAAGAAGCCAGACGCAAAAAGAUACAUAUCACAUGAUUUCAUUUAUAUGAAAUACCAGAGCAGGCAAGUCCAUAGUGCCUGGGGGAAGGGGAGCAGAGGAAAGGCUCCUAACGAUUCUGGGGGUUGGUCUGGAGGUGACAAAGAUGUUUGGGACUACACAGAGGUGGUAGUUGUGCACCACUGUGAACGUACUACACACUACUGAGCUCACGCGUUUUGGAAUGGUUAGCUUCGUGUUGUGCAAAUUGUACUUCAAUUCAAAAAAAAAAGGGGGGGACGCCUGGGUGGCUCAGUGGUUGAGCAUCUGCCUUCAGCUCAGGGUGUGAUCCCGGAAU